GAGGAUCAUUGCAAGUUCGAGGCCACCCUGGGAUACAAAGUCACAGCGUCCUGUUGUCAGUGUGUUCCCACAACUGUCCUCCAGGGAAGAGGUACGCUGGCUGCUGACCCAGCCUGAAGACCUGGCAGUGUGCUAAAUGGACUAGAGCCGGGCUCUAAUUCCCAGGAAUAGCUGUGACGGUUUAGUGUGCUCUCCUGGGCUUGCAGCAUGAAACUAGGACCUCACAUGUGCUAGGACCUCACAUGUACUGCUCAGCUCAAAGCCUGGCCCCCGGCUCUCCUGCCCCAUUGCGACCACGGAGGCGAAGGAUUAUUCCCCCCAUUCUAUAAAAGAAAUAUCAGGAGCAAGCAAACACAGUUUUUAAUCUUUUUAAUAAAAAGUGGAGCAGGGAACAGCUCCUAAAAGCA